UUCGCCGCCUCUGGCCUAAUGGAUGGCAUCGGUCUCCUAAACCGGUUGCGGGUUCAAACCCCGCCGAGGGAAA